UUAGUUGAUUAGUCAUUUUUAAUGGGUUUUCUUUCAUGCUGAAUGACUUAUUUCCAAGAAACUUAUGAGCACAUCUCUGGUAAACACAAGAUUUAAAAUGUUUUUUUCGUGUGAUUCUUUUUGGAGAAACUCAAUUUUACAGAUCUGUUGAAUUAAAUCAAUUAAUCAAUUAUACAACAAAAUCGUUUGAGUGUUAGUUGACUAAGAAUUUCUUUGUUCGAGGACAGCCCUACAAUAAAGUGACUACUUUGGUCAGUUUUUACUCUGAGAUCACCUCUAUCUGAAUCACUGCCUAAAUGAAACUAGUGGUUGACUGUUCGGUACCUAUAAUGACAUAAAUUGCUUUCCAUCUUAAAAGAUGCUAAAUGUGAGAUUGGGAGCAUUUCUACUGCCUUCGCACAGCUCUCAACAUGGGGACAGCUGAUCCGGCAGCUCGCAGCUAAAUUAUAUUUUAACACGUGAUGUUGCCAGACAUUUUUUGAGUAUGUUGAGUAUGUUUCCAUGACAUGUUCACAAAAGAAAAAAAUGAUAGAUUUUAGACCUUUUUGUUGCCAUUUUCACCAAAAACCUAGUAUAUUUUCAUUACAGCAAUGCCUGCUUUGCCUUGUCAGCCUACAGCGUUUCACUACAUAGAAUAACAAACAUAAGGUUUUGUUGCAGCUGGAUACGGUGCAAUGAAUAAUUCAGCUAUUUAUUCAAAAUUUCAACUACAAUCUUUUAUUUUUCUGACAGUAAAAUCAAGUCGAUCUUCAAACUGCAGACACGUUGUCAGUCUUAAUUAUAGAAAAGGCUGAGAUCAUGAAGGCACACUGUCUCUCUAAAAACUAGAAUUCACCCAAAACAAAGGAUUUUUAUGAUGCUGCUGAGUGGAAUGUAAGGUCAGACAUCGAGUUUGAUCUCUUUUCAGCUUGACAUGACGCUUGUUGCUUUUAUGUUAUGUUUACGCCAUCUUUACCAUUCCACACAUGCCGAGCAUUUCAUGAACACGCCAGAAAUGUGCACCUUUGUUGUGAAUGGAAAUCACUUUAACAAGACGGUUAGCACAGAAAUACAGUUUACUGUUUCUGGAAUAUAAUUCUGGUGCUUUUGUGAGUGCUGUGCCACGACCUCACUUCUCCCCAGAGACCCUCCUCCCCGUCCUGUGUGCUUAUUUCUGGGCCUCCUCAGGAGACGCGGAGGAAUGUCUGCUGGGGAGCAGCGACUGUGAAUAAAUAAUGGAGACGACCUGGGUGUUUCUUUCCUGAGUGGCCGCUGAAGGGUGUGUGCGAUUUUGUUGUUGGACAAUCAUGUCAGCUGAGCACGCUUCAUUCAGGAACAACUGUAGGCGGUUUGUGUGCUGACGUGUACGGUUUACUUAUGUGUUUAUUUUGUCUCUUGCAAACUCUCUUUAUGUAGGCCUCUGGGCCCAUGCGAGCCUACAGAUUGGUAUUUGUGAAUUCAGCCAUAUGAUUGUGUUUCCUUUUUAUCGUUUUGCUCAAAUCAGUAAUCACCUCAACCUGCUGUUUUCCUGUUUCAUGAGGGACACGUGCCUGAGCUGUUUAAAAGCACCACUAUCCCAGUCAGAACACACACUGAUGAAUAAUAUAUGGAGCAGAUAAACUUGGACACUAAAUGGAUGUCCCUCAAGUAGAACCCCAAAGGCUGUCUGUGCUCCAGUAGAGAGAUUACCUCUUAUUUUUCCCUUCUUUUUUCUCAUCCUCUUUCUCCCUCUAUCUGUCUCUUAUCCCACCACCAUACUCAUUUACACACACACACACACACGUGCCAAAUCCCUCCAUAAACAACACACUAAUACCCUGAGACCUGGCUUUCAGUGUCAGGUAACGCUCCAGAUUCCUGAAAAAUGCAGGGACAUGUGAGAGGCCUCUAAAUAUAGAAGCGUUACCACCACUGCUCCCGUGUGGUCCUUUAAUUGUCACGUUACACAUGAAUCCCUGCCCCGUUUGCUUCUGUUCUUUCGUUGCGUUCACAUCACAAACUCGCCCGCCAAUCUGCAUGGAAAAAAAAAAAGGUCCCAAUGAACCACUUCAGAUGGCAGAUGAAAGAGUUUUCCACCUUUCCUGUCAUGGUGGGAGCUGGAUAAAGAGGGGCCUACAGAGACGCUAGUUGACUUUGCCACUGGGCACACCCUUGCAAGCUGCGCAGCAUAUCAAUAUAGGGCAAGGUUAAAUGGUUCCUCCCAUUGUCUAGCUACUGUAGAUAUUUUUGGGACAAGCCCCCAAAAGGGUUUUAAAAGAGAUUUGAUCUUCUCAAUUAAUUUCUAGUGCAACAAAAGCCACUGCUGAUUGAAAUGCAGCUGGGAGUGUCUCAUAAAUUACCUCCUUGUUCACAAAGACAGAGCCUGUUGCAUGCAUAGCAUAACCUAAAUAGAUGUUAAAGGGUCAGUUCAUCCAAAUCAAAAACAAAAACUUGUCCCCCAUUGACAGUUUUCACUUUCCCUCCCAAUUUAAAAUGUAAACACAGAGGUUUGUGUGUCUGGCCUCUCUGGUCGAGCUUUCGCUGCGAGGCUGCGGGUCUCCACCUGCCAACAGGGGUAAAAGGGAAAAUGUGUUUUUUUGUGAUUUGGGUGAAUCGACCCUUUAACAUUUAUAGAGUUAAUAUAUGCACACAAGCUGGCAAACACAGAAGCGGAUGUGCUGGUGCAAAUCAAUUAUUUGCUGUCCAUAAAAUGGCUGAGUACACACUCACACGCAUAUGCAUACACACAUAUACCGUGGCACAUUGGCGUGUACACACAGAAGCGGAUGUGGUAGUGUGAAUCAAUAAUGCUGUGUUGUCACAGUGACAUGUGAGCCAUGGCAGGGAGCAGAUGGCCCCGGGGUGCCUUGCUUCCUGUUAGCCGUGCCAUUCAGUCUCCACACACACACAGACACACAGACACACACACACACACAGACCACUACCAUCUCCGCUGGGAUUUCCCAGUGCAACUAGCCACAGCACUGGCCAUUAACAAACAGCAUGCCAUUAUUGGCUCCUCUCUGAAAUGCGUACAUGCCCUCCAAAAAAAAAAAUGACAACAGCCAGAUGAUGGUAAAUAGAUUUCUCUGCCUCGUCCGUGGAGGUCUGGGGUAAAUAAUUCUCUGCACCCCCUUCCCCAAUGUGAUAUUUGGCAGCAGAGCAAAUAGCCCUCAGGAAAUCUGAUCCAUUUCAGUGGACGCUGAGUGAGGUCAGCCGUCGCUCAGGUAUCACUUUGACUACGUGGUAUUGAUUGAGCAUUUCCGAUGGUUUGUGUUGGUAUCUCUGAGCAAAGACUCAAUUAACGCGGUGGCUGUAAACGUCAGGUUGUGUAUGAAGGUGAUUUAUUGAAAUUCAUGUUGUAGGAAAAACUGUCUCUGUCGAAAGACCUUGGCGAGAUGUUUUAACACUUUUAUGCUGACGGCUUUCAGUCGGUGUGUGUGUGUUUGACUCCUGGUAAAGCUCACACAGCACCACCCUGUUGGCAGUCACCUUUGAUGGCGACUGAUUAGGUUUGAAGUGCACAGAAAAAUGAUUCGCCCCUGAUGUUUGGAAGAUAAAAGCUUUGCCAAGGGAACGCCGCUGCUGCUACCUGGUGUUUCAGGGCAGCGAUCAGCGUUCAUGAAACUCCUCGCCAUCCCGAACUCUUGAUGUCCUCCCAGACCUACAACCAAAUCCUGUCAGCGUGCUGCGGUGAACAGACAUUUUGUUACUGUCACAGAUAACCCCUGCUGUUUUCAGAGGACGACUACUGCAUGCUACCUCUGACAGGGAUAUCUCGCAGGCAGGGGCUUACCCAGCAUUGCCACGGUGUUAUAUUACAUCAAUUUCACUAGGUCUACUCUGAAGGUGUGCUGCCUUUAAUUGGUUGUUGGGCUGUCAUUACAACUUCAAAUAAUGACAGAUACUUCAAAGAAAACAGGGAGGAUUGGAAACAGGAGAAACGACAGUGAUUCCUUUUCUUCUUAGGUAUUUUGUUUAGCAUUUUUUGGUAUUUUCUUUGACAAUUCAGUUAUGCUUUAUGCCUGUAUGUUCUAAGGAUGCAGUCUUCUUGUGACUUAUGUCAGAGCAAAUUUUUUAUGAUGCCUGGAUUCAGUUAUGUCAGGCGCCAUUUCACUUCGUAGAGGAGUGUUAACUGUGACAUGUCUAGACGAGCAAAUCUAACCACCAGACGUUUAAUCAACUCUGCAAAUUGACCUAUAAAUUGCUUCAUUUAUCUUUCACAGUUUGUGGUGAACGAGCUGUAAAAAAGAAAGAAGAGCCCAAAAUAAGUAUGCAUUUUCUCUUGUCUAUGCUAUAUAUAUGUAAAAAGACCUUUGAUUAUCAGCUAGCUUUGCAAACUCAUUUUCUGAUUGCACCAGAUCUAUCAUGACAGGUAGACCUUCAAUGUUUCCAGAUUUGAAUUAGUCCACAUUCCUGCACUCCAGCGAGGACAGCGGGUUAAAAAAUAUUCCUGGAUGAAAUGACUGCACUUCACAAGGUGUCUUUGAUCAGAAGGUGAAGCUAACCGGGUUGAGGAGGAGGAGGAGGAGAGAUAGAAGGGCAAGCAAGUAGAGGAGGCUUCUAUAAACAGUCCGGUCCUUCUUACUGCCACAUGUGCUGCAGACAGGUCAAGCCUGCUGAGGUAAUUGCUGUGGAUGGUUGGGAAAGUACGAUCAGGCCACCAGGGUUGAAAGACCAAAGCAAAACGGAGCCAGCAGAGUGAACAGCUUUGAUUUAAGUGGAGUUCAUGGCUGUUAAGAGAGAGUUGCAGAAGUAGGAGUAGAUUAGCUCACUCCAUAGAAAUUUAUAGAGCAAACUUGGAUAAAGUUGCCUGUUAAAGUCAUCUGACUCAACAAUCAUCUGAUUCUCAGCUGAUCCAUCUGCUGACUUAGAAAGUAGAGGAGUGUGCUCGUGAAACACCCACGGGGGCAUUACAUAGCACAAAAAUACAAAUGAAACAGAACCUUUUCAACAGCCACAGCUCAAUAUACAGUAUGUUUCCUGUAUGAUUUAAAGGGGGCAUAGCAUUGUCAGGUUCAUACUUGUAUUUGGGGUUUCUAUUAGAACAUAUUUACAGGCUUUAAUGUUCAAAAACAUUAUUUUUCUCAUACUGUCUGUCUCUGAAUAUACCUGUAUUCACCCUCUGUCUGAAACGCUCUGUUUUAGCGCCUGUCUCUUUAAGACCCCCUCCUGAAAAAGCCUAGUCUGCUCUGAUUGGCUUGGGAGAAAAAUAUGGUGUGCCUUUGCAAAAGUAGUUGUAAAGCUGUGGGUGAUUUACUGGCGA